AUUUACAAGAUCCUCAUCCAAACAGUUACUUGGAUAACUGUGGAAAAGCCAGAGCUAAUACAUGCAUUAUGCCGGGACUGUUGGCCUCCGGGUCGGCGGAACUGGUGCACUUAUUAGUUAAACCAAUCGCCUCCGGGCGCUUUGAGUUGAAAUCUGGAUAAGGAUGCCGAUCGUACGGUCGCUUGCGACUGACGACAGAUCUUUCAAAUGUCUGCCCUAUCAACUAUUGAUGGUAGUGUAGAGGACUACCAUGGUUGCGACGGGUAACGGGGAAUCAGGGUUCGAUUCCGGAGAGGGAGCCUGAGAAAUGGCUACCACAUCCAAGGAAGGCAGCAGGCGCGUAAAUUACCCAAUCCCGGCACGGGGAGGUAGUGACGAGAAAUAACAAUAUGGACCUCUCUAACGAUGGUCCAUAAUUGGAAUGAGUUGAGCAUAAAUCCUUUUGCAAGGAUCAAGUGGAGGGCAAGUCUGGUGCCAGCAGCCGCGGUAAUUCCAGCUCCACUAGCGUAUAUUAAAGUUGUUGCGGUUAAAACGUUCGAAGUUGAUACCCCGUCCAGACUCGCGUCCGUCGCGGGCGCCCGGCCUCUCGGUUGGGACCGUCCGUGUACGCGCUCGCGGCUGCGACUCACAAUGGUGUACCUGGGCGUUCUACUCCGUGACGGGUCAGGACUUGUCGCCGCGACCUCGUCGGUCAAGGUCUUGUUCGACCCAGCUUCAUGGUGCCCGGGAACUCUCGUUUACCUUGAACAAAUUAGAGUGCUCAAAGCAGGCUAGUUCAAAGCGUCCGGUCCUCCGGGG
rnacentral:rRNA from 1 species